rnacentral:rRNA from 1 species
GUGAGGAAUAUUGGUCAAUGGACGCAAGUCUGAACCAGCCAUGCCGCGUGCAGGAAGACGGCUCUAUGAGUUGUAAACUGCUUUUGUACGAGGGUAAACUCGGAUACGUGUAUCCGUUUGAAAGUAUCGUACGAAUAAGGAUCGGCUAACUCCGUGCCAGCAGCCGCGGUAAUACGGAGGAUUCAAGCGUUAUCCGGAUUUAUUGGGUUUAAAGGGUGCGUAGGCGGUCGGAUAAGUUAGAGGUGAAAUCCCGAGGCUCAACUUCGGAAUUGCCUCUGAUACUGUUCGGCUAGAGAGUAGUUGCGGUAGGCGGAAUGUAUGGUGUAGCGGUGAAAUGCUUAGAGAUCAUACAGAACACCGAUUGCGAAGGCAGCUUACCAAGCUACUUCUGACGUUGAGGCACGAAAGCGUGGGGAGCAAACAGGAUUAGAAACCCGUGUAGUCC